CUUAGAGGGAGGGCCGCUUCCGAUGUUGGAAACCUCAGCGGUCAGAAUAUAAAAUAACACAUCACACACAUCUCAAUACUUUGAGGUAAACAUGGGGUUCACUUUCUUGGCCAAGGGCACAUGACAUGGAUGGAUGGGAAUCGAAGUGCUGACCUUGCAUUUAAAGGACUGCUGCUGAUCCAUGGCUGCUCUAUGUAAUGAGCACGACCAUAAUGGACAUAAUCGAUCUUGGCUCACAUUCAUAGGAAGCUGAGUGACAGUGGUGUUGAAGGCUUCCUGACAGUUGGUGGGUGCUCUGCGUAGCUGCUUAAUCCUUUCAGCAACCGGCGAAUGUGGAUCCAUAUGGCCAGUCAAUGAUAACACUAAAUGUAGAUCCAUCCAUCUUCACUGAGAAGUGAAGCAGGAAAUGAAGACCUGCGCUGCCUCGACAUUAUCAGCCUGCAACCACAGACCCAGGGCCAUCUUUUCAUACAAAUGCUGCUUAUCUCCCCUCAUCUAAAGCUUCCUGCACCUCCAAUAAAAGGAAGCCACCCCAGUGCAGAUAAAUACAUUUUGUGGUUUGCAUUUCAAUUAAUGACAUGAGGCAUUCACAAAAAAUAAAAAACAUGUAUCUGAAGGUGAUUAUUCAGAGGGAGCUGCAGCAGCCAACGCUUUAGCGCUGGGUCGGGUUAUAACCUGGUCUCACUGGGAUGAAUAAUUGAUCUGGCACCACAGAGCUUUUCAUAGAUCAGCUGACACUUCACAUCACAACCCCUCUCUCUGUCUCUCCAAGGACUUCAAUGCUGCCAUGGUGAUGCUUCAUCACAGUGUGCCUUUAUUUUACCGCCACAAUGAAUCUGUCUGGUUAUCCAACACAGCCUCGACUAAAGAUGGACAACAUUUCUGUGACCCAUUAAAGAUUUGGCAGGUGAUAAGAGAAGGACUCAAGACCUUUGAAGAGGGCUAGAAGAUCCAGCGAUCUUAAGUGUCCUCUGGUUUGUGUUGUUUCAGUUGGGAGACCAUGAGAAGAUAUGAGAACAUUUCAGCACACCCUCAACAGACACACACACAAACAAACAAACAAACUACAUCCUUCACAUUUAAGCUUUUCUCAAAGAAUCACCAAAGUUAAAAAUUACAGAACCAUUUUACCUAUAUUUUACUUAAAAGACAUGUCAGUGUAGAAAACAACUGUGAGCUCACAAGAACAACAAACUGUAUGCUACAGUACCUUGCAAAAGUAUACAUACACCUUGAAUAUUUUAAUAUUUUGUAACACAAGAGCCAUAGACUUCAAAUAUUAAUUGGGAUUUUGUAUUUUUUGGUAAUAGAGCAACACAUAAUCAUGUAUGUUUGUAAAGUGAAAGCAAAAUUUUAGAUGAUUUUUAAGAUAUUUUAAAAAUCAUCUAAAAAUGUGGCAUUUGUA